UACGAAGGGGGGCUAGCGUUGCUCGGAAUCACUGGGCGUAAAGCGCACGUAGGCGGCUUUCUAAGUCAGGGGUGAAAUCCUGGAGCUCAACUCCAGAACUGCCUUUGAUACUGGAGAGCUUGAGUCCGGGAGAGGUGAGUGGAACUCCGAGUGUAGAGGUGAAAUUCGUAGAUAUUCGGAAGAACACCAGUGGCGAAGGCGGCUCACUGGCCCGGUACUGACGCUGAUGUGCGAAAGCGUGGGGAGCAAACAGGG
rnacentral:rRNA from 1 species